UGAUGACGAGACGCUAAGGCGUCGAAGCAGUGUAUGUCAGACUUCCAAGAAAAGCUCGCAAUGUCACAAAUGAAAAAUGCCUGUGCCAUAACCGACACAGGUGGGUAGGUAGAGUAUACUAAGGGGCGCGAGAUAACUCUCUCUAAGGAACUCGGCAAAAUGACUCCGUAACUUCGGGAGAAGGAGUGCCUUAUUUAUAAGGUUGCAAUAACAAGAUCCAAGCAACUGUUUAUCAAAAACACAGGUCUCCGCUAAGUCGUAAGACGAUGUAUGGGGGCUGACGCCUGCCCAGUGCCAGAAGGUUAAAGAAGUUGGUUAGUGUAUGCGAAGCUGAUGACUGAAGCCCUGGUGAACGGCGUCCGUAACAAUAACGGUCCUAAGGUAGCGAAAUUCCUUGUCGGGUAAGUUCCGACCCGCACGAAAGGCGUAAUGAUUUGGAUACUGUCUCGGAGAGAGGCUCGGUGAAAUAGACUUGUCUGUGAAGAUGCGGACUACCUGCACCAGGACAGAAAGACCCUAUGAAGCUUUACUGUAACUUGAAAUUGGAAUUGGACUUUGCUUGCGCAGUAUAGGUGGGAAGCGUUGAAAAUAUUCUUGCGGGAGUAUUGGAGCUAUCAGUGAGAUACCACUCUUGUAAUGUUAGAUUUCUAACUUUGAACCAUAAUCUGGUCAAAGAACAGUUUCAGGUGGGCAGUUUGACUGGGGCGGUCGCCUCCCAAAUGGUAACGGAGGCGUACAAAGGUUUCCUCUGAACGGAUAGAAAUCGUAUCUAGAGUGUAAAGGCAUAAGGAAGCUUGACUGUGAGACCUACAAGUCGAGCAGGAACGAAAGUCGGUCUUAGUGAUCUGACGGUACUGAGUGGAAAGGCCGUCACUCAACGGAUAAAAGUUACUCUAAGGAUAACAGGCUGAUCUCCCCCAAGAGUUCACAUCGACGGGGAGGUUUGGCACCUCGAUGUCGGCUCAUCGCAUCCUGGGGCGGUAGUACGUCCCAAGGGUUGGGCUGUUCGCCCAUGAAAGCGGUACGCGAGCUGGGUUCAGAACGUCGUGAGACAGUUCGGUCCAUAUCCGGUGUAGGCGCUAGAAUAUUGAGAGGAGCCUUCUUUAGUACGAGAGGACCGAGAAGGACACACCGCUGGUGUACCAGUUAUCGUGCCAACGGUAAACGCUGGGUAGCUAUGUGUGGAGUGGAUAACCGCUGAAAGCAUCUAAGUGGGAAGCCCACCUCGAGAUGAGUAUUCCC
rnacentral:rRNA from 1 species